UGUUCCUGAUUUUCAUUUCAGAAAUCUGGUCACCUUACAAUGUAAGUUUGCAAAAGUGACAUUUUGCCUUGCCUUAAUUCACAGGAAGUGGCCCACCUCCUGCACAACUCCGAGGGAAAGUGCAAGCGCCAUCAUGCUGAGCAAGGAACACUAAAUGUUGACCCACUGUGAGACAGUAAACAGGAACUUCUGGUACAGUCGACCACAUGUUGCUGCUAGGGUGACAGCCUUUAAGAGAUCUGCCCGGUGUUGAUCGAGAAGGAAGCAGCUGUUCAAAGUGAGGCAGAGUGUACUGGCAGAAGAUGAAGUGGUGUUCUGAAUGGCGUCACUAUGGAUCUGAUGUUGUAAGGAAGAUGGCAGCUUUGAAGGGGGUGUCACGGUGGUUUGUGCGAACCCCAAGUUUCCGCAGCCAGGAGCUCACUGACCUUUGUGGCACGCUGCAGACAAGGCUGGAGGCUAAUCCAAAGUACAAAGCACUGCAUCACAGUGGACAGACAUUUCAUCCUGCAGCCCAGCAUUAGAUAUGUUUUGUAAAUGGUUUGUAAAUAGUUUUUCACAUUUGCCUUUUUCAUUAAUGAAUUUCUCAUGUUCCUCAUAAAUUCAUGUUCUAAUAGUGAAGGCCAACA